GGCCAUAGCUCAGUGGUAGAGCAUCUGCUUUGCAUGCAGAAGGCUCCAGGUUCAAUCCUGGUGGGGCUG